UCGUGAAACCGCGAAUGGCUCAUUAUAACAGCUAUGAAUUUACUUGAUCUKUGAUUCAAUCCUACUUGGAUAACUGUGGUAAUUCUAGAGCUAAUACAUGCCUUAAGGCUCUGACCUCACGGGAAGAGUGCAUUUAUUAGAACAAAACCAAGCGGCUUCGGCUGUUUCUGGUUGACUCAUAGUAACUGAGCUGAUCGCACGGUCUUGCACCGGCGACGUGUCUUUCAAGUAUCUGCCGUAUCAACUUUCGAUGGUAGUGUAACUGACUACCAUGGUGAUCACGCGUAACGGAGAAUAAGGGUUCGGCUCCGGAGAGUUCGCCUGAGAAAUCGCGAACACAUCUAAGGAAGGCAGCAGGCGCGAAAAUUACCCACUCUCAGCACGAGGAGGUAGUGACGAAAAAUAACGAGGCCGUUCUCUUCUGAGGCCGGUCAUCGGAAUGGGUACAAUUUAAACCCUUUAACGAGUAUCUAUGAGAGGGCAAGUCUGGUGCCAGCAGCCGCGGUAAUUCCAGCUCUCAAAGUGCAUAGAAUUAUUGCUGCGGUUAAAAAGCUCGUAGUUGGAUCUGUGCCCUUGGACGGGGUCCACCUCCGGGUGCGUACUCCGCUCCUGGGCUUUUUGCUGGUUUUCCCGUCGUGGCCUUCACUGGUUGCGGCGGGUGGCUGGCGAGUUUACUUUGAGAAAAUCAGAGUGCUCAACACAGGCGUUUCGCUUGAAUGAUUGUGCAUGGAAUAAUAGAAAAGGAUUUCGGUCCUCUUUUAUUGGUUUUGUGGACUGAGAUAAUGGUUAACAGGGACAAACGGGGGCAUUCGUAUCGCUGCGUGAGAGGUGAAAU
rnacentral:rRNA from 1 species